UUCCGCAAUGGGCGAAAGCCUGACGGAGCAAGACCGCGUGGGGGAAGAAGGCUCUUGGGUUGUAAACUCCUUUUCUCUGGGAAGAACAACAUGACGGUACCAGAGGAAUCAGCAUCGGCUAACUCCGUGCCAGCAGCCGCGGUAAGACGGAGGAUGCAAGCGUUAUCCGGAAUGAUUGGGCGUAAAGCGUCCGCAGGUGGCAGUUCAAGUCUGCUGUCAAAGACCGGGGCUYAACCUCGGAAAGGCAGUGGAAACUGAACAGCUAGAGUAUGGUAGGGGCAAAGGGAAUUCCUGGUGUAGCGGUGAAAUGCGUAGAGAUCAGGAAGAACAUCGGUGGCGAAGGCGCUUUGCUGGACCAUAACUGACACU
rnacentral:rRNA from 1 species